AGCGAACGCUGGCGGCAGGCCUAACACAUGCAAGUCGAACGGCAGCACCGUAAGUGCUUGCUGUUACGGGUGGCGAGUGUCGGACGGGUCAGGUAUACAUCGGAUUCUACUUUUACGCGGGUGAUAACGUAGAGAGACUUCUGCUAAUACCACAUUCGUCGCACGUGUGGAAGCACGGGAUCUUUGAACCUUGCGCUAUUGUAUCUGCCGAUGUCGGAUUAGCUAGUUGGCGGGGUUAAGGCCCACCAAGGCCACGAUCCGUAUCUGGACUGAGAGGGUGAUCAGCCACACUGGAACUGAGACACGGCCCACACUCCUACGGGAGGCAGCAGUGGGGAAUAUUACGCAAUGGACGCAAGCCUGAUCCAGCGAUACCGCGUGAGUGAAGAAGGCGUUCGGGUUGUAAAACCCUGUUGUUGGGGAAGAAAAACAGCUGGUUAAUCCGCCACGGUACUGACGGUACCCAAAGAAUAAGCACCGGCUAACUUCGUG
rnacentral:rRNA from 1 species